UACGGAGGGUGCGAGCGUUGUCCGGAAUCACUGGGCGUAAAGGGCGCGUAGGCGGUCUGCUAAGCGUGCGGUGAAAGCCUGGGGCUCAACCCCAGGUCUGCCGUGCGAACUGGUGGACUCGAGCACUGUAGAGGCAGGUGGAAUUCCGGGUGUAGCGGUGGAAUGCGUAGAGAUCCGGAAGAACACCGGUGGCGAAGGCGGCCUGCUGGGCAGCUGCUGACGCUGAGGCGCGACAGCGUGGGGAGCAAACAGG
rnacentral:rRNA from 1 species